UUACCGCGGUCGUGGAGUG
rnacentral:misc_RNA from 1 species